AAUAUUGCGUCAGUCGAUAGUGAUAUAACUUUAACAUGCAGUUAAAGUAAACGUAUCUACUGUAGGUAAACACAACGAGACAGCUCACUGAGUCUCGCCCAUUUACCGACAUACAAUGAGAAUUUCUGACGUCAUCACUGAGCAAUGUGUUUACACAUAGAUUAUAUUAUAAUAACACCAGUGACGUCAGACUCGCCUGGGAGGACUGACCUUUGCGUGAAUGGAUGGAUGGAUGAUAACUUAAUUACCUGGAUUCACCCGUGUGGUUAAGAAGGCGAGAUAUUUGGCUCGGGAUCCCCCAAAGUCACUUCCAUUUGUAGAUAUUAACGUUAAGUUCCCGUUAUUUUCGACCUGUUUUAAUCAAAGUUUGUCAAGUUCGAUAGACUUUAAUAAAAAGCUCCAGUGUCAAGUUUUAUGAAAAUUCGUUGAGACGUUCCCGAUUUUUAAAUUUUUUUUUAAAAACAUGGCGAAGUUGAUUGUCUCAUUUCUGCAACGUCAGAGCGAAUUCUAAAUUUCGGAAUUUUACGUCCGUUGUAUACAUCUGUCUACUUUUAAAAAAAACAAAUUAAAAUUUUAUAGAGCUUUUUUAUUUAAUUCAGGAAAAUACUAAAAACAGAAAGUACUACUCAAAAUUUUAAGAAUACUUAUACUUUUCCACACCACAUGUUUUACGGAUCGAAAUUAGAAUUUCUUGGCAAUUUUUAUUGCAGAAAUUUGUAUCGUGUGCAGCCUAAUCAAAAAUUGUCGAUUAUCUUUGGCGAAUGGACAGACGGAGAGAGACCGUUGAUUAACCAUUAUUCCCUUGUGCUGCAUUUGGAUGCAGGGCUCAAGGUGACGCCAUGAACACCCUCCGACUGAAGGAGAGAAUUUACGACUCUCGUUUCUAAUCGAUUAAACCUUCUGGUCGAUGACAAAAGCACCAGCCGUGUGACGUAUUUAUCGUCUGUCCACUUGCUAUAAGUCGGAUAGAAUAGUAACUCUCGUGCCCAUAGCGACAGUGGGCUCCAGCAAGGGGAAACAAACGAGUAACGAAGCUGGCAUUCAAGUUCUCUACUUUUUUUUUUUUAGUUCGUGUCCCAGCCACCUGUUAACUGUUACGAGCCACCUGUCAGUUCCGCCAUGGCUCCCUGCUGUCUGAUAAAUGUCCGAUAUAAAAAUGUUAUCUUUUCCUAAACCAGCGUUUCACAAACAAUGCGACGCGAUCGGUUCGAAAUCUGAAAGGGUUUUUUUUUCUCCC